GGAUGUGAGGACAAUCUGGCUGCAACAUCUGUCACCCCAUUGAUUGCCAAGGUUGAUACAGCUGAUCUGGCUGGCGAGGCAGGUGUCCCCUUCCUCGCUCACCACUCCAUGUGCGUCCCUCCCACAGCUGUAUGCUUCAUUAAAGAAGAUGACCAUCCUCGACAGAGGAGGACUGCUCUUCAGUCAAGGGUAUAUGAGUAGCUGGGCUCCCCUGCUACAAACCGCAGACAAGUUCUCAAGGAAAUCGAUCUGGAAGCUGGGAAUUUUCCCUACAUACCUAUGACUAGGAACAAUUUUUCUAGUAGCCUAG
ensembl:misc_RNA 7SK 7SK RNA